rnacentral:rRNA from 1 species
UCGCCCGCCGCGCGCGGCGGGCGGGGCGGGGGCACGGGGGGCCUACGGGAGGCAGCAGUAGGGAAUUUUCGGCAAUGGGGGAAACCCUGGCCGAGCAACGCCGCGUGAAGGAAGAAGGUCUUCGGAUUGUAAACUUCUGUUAUAAAGGAAGAACGAGAUAUGCAGGAAAUGGUAUAUCAGUGACGGUACUUUAUGAGGAAGCCACGGCUAACUACGUGCCAGCAGCCGCGGUAAU